AGCUGAUCCAGCCAUGCCGCGUGUGUGAAGAAGGUCUUCGGAUUGUAAAGCACUUUAAGUUGGGAGGAAGGGCUGUAAGUUAAUACCUUGCAGUUUUGACGUUACCGACAGAAUAAGCACCGGCUAACUUCGUGCCAGCAGCCGCGGUAUAA
rnacentral:rRNA from 1 species